rnacentral:rRNA from 1 species
ACUCCUACGGGAGGCAGCAGUGGGGAAUAUUGCACAAUGGGCGCAAGCCUGAUGCAGCCAUGCCGCGUGUAUGAAGAAGGCCUUCGGGUUGUAAAGUACUUUCAGCAGUGAGGAAGGUAGUGUAGUUAAUAGCUGCUAUUAUUUGACGUUAGCUAGCAGAAGAAGCGACCGGCUAACUCCGUGCCAGCAGCCGCGGUAAUACGGAGGGUGCGAGC